rnacentral:rRNA from 1 species
AACGCGAAGAACCUUACCAAGGUUUGACAUGCAGGGAAAAGCCGUAGAGAUAUGGUGUCCGCAAGGGACCUGUGUAGAGGUGCUGCAUGGCUGUCGUCAGCUCGUGCCGUGAGGUGUUGGGUUAAGUCCCGCAACGAGCGCAACCCUUACUCAUAGUUGCUACCCGCAAGGGAGAACUCUAUGAGGACUGCUCCGGAUAACGGAGAGGAAGGUGGGGAUGAGGUCAAGUCAGCAUGGCCUUUAUGUCCAGGGCUACACACGUGUUACAAUGCGCGCCACAAAGCGUCGCGAACCCGCGAGGGGGAGCUAAUCGCAAAAAAGCGCGCUCAGUUCGGAUUGCAGUCUGCAACUCGACUGCAUGAAGCCGGAAUCGCUAGUAAUGGCGCAUCAGAACGGCGCCGUGAAUACGUUCCCGGGCCUUGUACACACCGACUGUAC